GGGACUCGCUCCGGGCUCAGGAAUCAGCCGCCAGCUCGCGGUUCUCCCCCCGCGAUCCUCAGGAUGCCCCCCGGCAAGGGAUCAAAAUCAGCCUACAAAAUCUUUGUAACCAAAACAGAAGGAGGUGAAUCAUCUAAUUAAAGAACCAUUACGGUCGGAAAGACCUCUAAGAUCAUCUAAUGCAACCAGCCCAUCACCACUAUUGCUCACUGAGCACGUCCCUCAGUGCCGCACCCACAGUUCAAGAACACCUCCAGGGAUGGAGACUCCACCACCUCCCUGGGCAGCACAUUCCAAUACCUGAACAGUCCUUAGGAGAAGUUUUUCCUACUAUCCAACCUGAACCUCCGCCGGUGCAACUUAAAACCAUUACCUCUCAUCCUAUCAAAAAGAAACCUCUAUCACCAGCAUUGGCUCAAGGUUUAUCAGCAGAGUAGGCGGAAUGUAAUUUCGCAGCCCAAGGAAUUUUUCUCCAUCCUCCAGCAGGCAAAAUUCAGCCAUGUGGCAGCAGGGUGGGUGCCUCCUGGGAUUCACUUUUCCUUUCCUACCAGGUCCACGAUACUGCACAGCAUGGGGGAAAGGCUGAGCCGACAGGGUGCUGGGAAUGAGGGCAGCUCACCCAUCCCAAGCCAAGACAGAGAGUCCCCUGUGCCAUGAGCUUCCACACCUGGACUUCAGGGGAGCAUGAGAUUCAUAGACGUGCCCCUCAUUUGUGCUCCAUGGUGAUGUGAGCGAGCUGAUGAUUUCCACUGAAGUCAAUAAGAAAUGUAGAGGGCAUCAACAAAAUCAUUAAGAAAUUUCUCUCAAUUAUAAUCUGCUUUCUUCAAAUAUAGCUGUUGCUGGAGCCUCCAACCAGAAUUAAUGAUAUGGAAAAUAUGAAGGGCGAUAAACAACGUGUUUGUGAGCUAGGGGGAUCUGAACAGUAAACAAAAAGUCAAACGUCCAAGGGGUUAAAUCUUUAAUAAACUGCAGCCCCAAAUUCAUUUGAUGUGCUCUUCUUCACGUCUUUGCAGCUGCACUCACUCGCUUCCUGGGCUUUUUCAAGUCAAACGCAUUUAACAAGACCAAGUUGCAAAGGAACUGUAACGGGUCUUUAACAGAGAAAUAGAUUGUAACCUUAUUCUUGCAUCUUAAAAGCAAUAACAUGAAUGAAAGAUUUUACAUUCCUCGCAGGUGCACAGUCUAUCCCGUAUUCAGCACAAAGCAUAUUGGUAUUCAAUAAUUUCUGUUUUGUUUUGGUUUUUAGAGUGAAUCAAGCAGGUACGUUUUGCAAUUGUUAGUACUGAGGGUAAUAAUAUACACACACAAGCAUCCACCCACAUGAGCACAGAGAGGUUAGUAGCAAUCUAAAAGUAUUUUGCAUGGCACAAAGAACACAGAAACAUUGUCAGCAGACUUGUUGGAAGACGGUAACGUUUAAUGGGAUGUUUGUGGUCUUGGGCGUGUGAGUGCAGGAUUUAAUCUCUGCUCAUCUGUCCAGCCCAGGCAAACACUGCAUUUACCUCUUUUAAAGUACUUUAUUGAGUGCUUUAGAAUGAAACGGGCUUCAGCUUCUGUAUGGCUUAAAUGAAGUAGCCAACAACAGAGAUGGAAAAAGGCACACUUACGAAGCCAUGAAAGAAACAAUGAGUUUUCUUAUGCCUGAUUCUGUGUCACAGGUGCAUUUCUGAUACUUCUGAACUUGCCAGGAGUGACUGAAAAUGCAGAAUUCUAAUCCCUCCAAGACUCAGAGACAAUCAAUCACUGAUGAAGGGGAAAUGCUGAAUUCCCAGCAUCUUGCCUUCUCCAAGAAAGCCUGUCGGCUGCGUAAUGCAAACUAAUCUGAUCCAAGAAUCAGCUUUUUUUUGCUUGUUGUUGUUUCUUGUCCUGGUUCACGUACAAACACAUAUCCAGAGGGAGAGAAAGAUGGAGAAAAAGAGAGAGAGAGAGACCACGUCCGCACAUCUCAGUGACUGCUGCUGAAAAUAGCUGAUACACGGCGCUGGGGCUGGAGCAAGGUGGGACUGCUCGGCUGUUCUCUCAUUGAAUGGCAGCCGAGAUCAGUCCAGAGCCAUCAGAAACAAAAUACUCCAUGGAAGAUGAAAACCAGGGCAUGCUUUUUUUUUACUGUCUGAGGCAGGGUGGGGGGGAGACAGCUAUAAACUGUAGCUGGGAGAAGCAGAUGGCAGUGUAUUAAGAGGACAGGGCACUGCUGCUGUUGCAGCCGCUGCCGCAACUGCCACAGCUCAGCUCUUUCCCAUCUGACAGAAGGGCCUCUGGGCAGCCAGGGCUGAGUCAGACUCACGUGUGUUGCACAGAUGUCUCUGGAGAACCCCCUCUUCCCCAUCCAUUUAUGUCACACCGCUUCAGGGUUUGAAGCAAGUUGCUCAGCUCCUACACGCUACGAGCACCCUGUCCCCCUCACUGCGUCUUUCCCAAGCAGCUGAGCCACGGUCAGCCCCCGUGAGCAUCCCAUAGACCACACAGGACUGAUCCCUGCAGUCUCCAAACAAGGGUGCCAUUAGCAUCUUCCAAGUGUCUCACUCGGUGUCCUGAACCUGUGCCCAGACGAGAGGAAGCAGUCAGUGAGGACACCUAAAACUCCAGGUUUCAUGCUGCCAAAUAGUCUGCGCUGGUUCUGGGAGACAUCGCAGCCACUGACCAAUGCUGGCCCCCAUCCAAGCAGACGGAGGGAGGAGAUAGCAUUUUAAAUUGGAGUUUGGUGUGAACACAUACCCAUACGCAGGAGAAACUGCCAGCUGCUUGCGAAAGGGGAACUAAGACAGAGAUGGCACCCUGGGUUGCUCUCUUUUACACAAGAUGUAGCUGUUGGUUUGAAGCAGCCGAGCGGUUUCCCAUCCUGAUAAGACUAUUUUAAGCUCCAUUCAGAGCAGUUGCGGAACAAGCUCUGCUGUUGAAGAAGAGAAGCAGCAAAUCCAUUUCACCUUCAUAGCUAACAGUUUCUCCUCCCGGGAAAGAGAUUUCUGGGAGGAGAAACAAGCAGAGCUUCCUCUGCCCUCAAGCUCACUCUGGGCCUCCAGCAGCAGGCUGCUGCCCCAACAUCUAUAGGGGAAGGGGCAUCCCUCUGGUGAGCUGCUCUGCCCCACCAACCAACAGGGCUGGAAGAGGGGAGAUGACCUGGAGGAGGAUUUAUCACACACCGUGCUCUGAUACCUUCUGGGAAAAAAACAGGGAUACUUAGCUGCUGUCAUGCAAACAUUUUAUGCAAAUCUUAUCUUUGUCUUUUGCAUACUGGUGUGUAAUUUGCAUCUGAUUAUCAACUUCGGGUCUAUUGUUUUAUUCUAAACAGAAUUGCUGCUGCUGAAAGGUUUUGGAUUGACAGCCCUGGUGAAUAAAGUCAUCUUUCUAACUAGGGAGCCCAAGAAAAACAGCUUUCCAUGCCAUUACUCCUAAACCAGGGCCAACAGUGAGGGUGCCAGCUCUUGGCCUCUUCUGAGCCUGCCAGCUAAUGAAAAGGACAGUUUUGAAUAUGGAAUCCAUGUGAACUUUAUACAAAGACAACCAAAAAUCCUUUAAAAAGCAUCAGCCAGUCUCUUGGGUUGGCUUCACAUUCAUUCUACACACACAGAAUGUCCCAGUACCUAGCGGGCUCUCAAGUCACACCCAAGGAUCACAAGAAGGUGUACACUGUGAGAUCUUCACACCCAAAAUGAAAGCCUUUGCCCUGUUGAACUAGAGAAGUGGAGUUUUUUGCUCUCCUUGGCACAUAUACAGGCACUGCCAGUCAGAUAUAUCCCUGCCUCCAGCAGCAACACAUGGGUCCUUUUUCUGAUUGCCAUAGAGGAUCUUGCCUUGUGUCAAGGCAAGGCAAAAAGACCUGCCAACAGUUGGAGCGGCUCAGCUCCACUGGAAUCAAUGGCUUGACUUAAUUUUACCCUGGCUAUGAGCUGGGCUCAUCUACACCAACAUUAGCAGAAGCUUCUUGGGAUGCCCUCUGUAGAAAUCAAUGAUGACCAAAGAUCAUAGUCUUUUAGUUCUGUAACCCGUGGGUCUCAUCAGUUGCCUCCUCUAAGUCUGGAAAGGUGGUUUUCUUCCACCUUGAGUAGGGACAAGGCCCUCCCAAGUGCUGAGGAAACACAGGGAACUAUUUACAGAAACUACAGGAUAGGAUGGGGAGUGAACUACCAAUAGAUUACCCCGACACGCGAGGCUGCUUCAGCCAAGCCAGAGGAUGAGUAUUAAUUAAUGUUAAUUCUGAUCCUUAGGUUUCAGCAGUCACAGCACUGAGUGAUAUGAGUAUGUCCACUUGACUUUGGGAUGGAUGGCUGCUCCAGCUUUAUUUGUCCUGUCGAUAAAUAUUCAGCCCCAGUAACAGCUGCUUCUGCAAGAGUGCCAGAUUAAGAAAAAUAAUGCAGGCUUAGUGCUCUUUACACGGAUUGCAUGGGCUGACCCAGCUGCAAUAUGCACACCCACAAAUCUUCUCAGAUCAUUACCUCAUUGAAUAUGGCUGUUCCUCCGUAAAGACAGGAGUUGGGUGAUACCUCGACAGAAUUUGAACAUGACAUGCUAAGUCAGAGCUGGAAAUUGCUGACGGAAAGCUCUGGGCCUGGCCUGGCAGGGAGGUGUGCCUCAUCAGAAAUGCACGCCUUGAAGAAGGACUCAAGGCAGCCCUGCUGGACAGGACCCUUGGCUUUGCAGAGAUGGGGGCAUAUAUUUGAAGGCAUCCCUCAUUAUUUCCGCACUUACUCUUUGUUCACAACCCAUCAGUAUUUCAUUUCCCUCCUUCACUGUGUGCCCAGCUCUGCAUUGAGAAGUCAGGAGUAUGAAUUGUGUAAAUAAAGUUUGUUGUUUUCCUUUGAAGUAUGCAGGAAAGCUUUGAAAACCCAAGUUCAGCUGUUCCCAAUAAUCUCAACUUUCUGCUCUAUUUCUCUGGUUAACCUUGCUGACUCAAAACAACAAAAAGCAUAGCCUGAAGGAAAUAGUGCUCACUGCUUUCUUAACUUUCCAAUGGCAUUUUACAGGAGAUAUUUCAUUUUUGUCAAGAUCUUUGAUGUCUGUUCCUCUCUUUUUGUGUGGAUUCCCAUUGAGAUUGAAUGGCUCUUACCAGCUUGCUUCCCCAGGCACAGGGUAGGAAGCAUGACUGCCUUCCCCGGGUCAUAAUAAGAGGGAAGAGGCAGUGAGGGGAUUGCUUAGAUGCCAGCAGUAAACAAGUCAACACAGAGAUGUGGUUGAUUUUCUUCCCAGAUCAUGGUGGGAGCAAGAUCUCUGACGUGCGCAUCCCAACCAGACAGCUGAGAUGAGUUUUAUUAGGCCACCACUCUGCUGGUCUAGUAAGGCUGAACAAAUCUCUCUUUCAUUUUGCUUUGCAGUCUGCUCAGGAGUUCACUCAAGCAAAUUUUCUUCACCCCCAACACUUGCUUUCCCUGACCCUGCAUUUACAAAUUAAUUGCCUGAAGAAUGAAGCAACAGGAACUUCACAUCAAGGCAGGCUCCUGACAAGCUUUGUUAAAAUAUCUGACUGUUCGAAAAGGGUAAAAUCUGCCAAGAGGCUCACUUGAGGGUAAAUAGACACCUUUCCUUAGGCCCUUACCACUACCACACUGUUAGGCCAGAGUGUACCUCCUCUCUUUUUUGGCCCAAAGGACUAUAGUUUACUUGUCAGUCUCGAACACUGUUCUCAGGAGAGUUAUCCAUAAGCUGGCCAGUGACUUGAGAGACUGCCAUCCCAUGCUUGCAAGAAACAGAUAUUGCUUGUGCUGAGAUAAAAGUCCCGAACAUGAAGAGCAUGAAGGAGAAGGGCAUUUGUCAUGCUAUUAUGCAUUUACCACAGCACCACAUUGUAUGGAGGGCUGAAAGUGGAAAAGACCCACAGCUGGGAUAUGUCUCUGCCAAGGUAUUGUUGAAAUCCUGUACCAUGGAUAAAGAAAUAGCAUUCAUCCUGAUAAAGUGAUCAGAAUACACUGACUAUGACUAUCAUUAAAUCGUGAGGAUUUAAUAUCACCACCCCCUGUCUAUCUCUCAUCUUUAAGGAAAUCACGUCAGUGGAAGAUGAGCUAAAAAACAUGUUCUGCCUCCAUAAGUCUCAGUCUCUACAGUCUAGACACUCCAAAUAAAGGGAGGGAGAAAGAACAGUAUAAACAGGCCCCUUGAACAUAAUUGAAGAACUAGACUAAUUUGGCUUGUCUUUAUAACAGGCCAGAGCUGGGCACUAGACUUACCCACAACAGAUAAAGAUGAGUAACUACAUAAUGAGGUUAAAAUAUUCAUUAAGCUAAUUGCAUGUUAAUUAAGUAAAGGAUGCUAUUAGGGAUCCAUUGAGCUCCAUCUGUGUGUGCAAACAGGAGUGAGAAUAAUCACACCAGAAAGCAGAAGAGACAGUGACAGCUCUGUGGUCCAGGAACAGGGAACUGGAGUGGCUGCCAGCAGGGGCUGCGCUGGGUGCUGGGGGGGCUGGCAGCCACCUGGAGGACUUUGGCUUUGUGAGAAGAGGGGGAGCUGGUAAGAAGAAGCUCUGGGUGUCGUGGCCAACAGUCACUUCAUGAAUGGUCAUUUCCCUACACUCUGUCUCCGUAUCCAGACAUGUAAAAGUGAAACUAUACCUCUCUCCCAAGUGAGAAAAUUCACAAGAAAACUCACAGAAGGGUCUUGCCAAGCUUAUUUUUGCAUCUGUAUCUGUUGAUUUUAUCAGAAUUACUUGCAGGGGCAAAGAUCCAUCACUCCAGAAAGCAAUGCAGCAUUCAAGCCAAUAGCCCGCAAGGCACUGGAAAGGUCCAUUUUUGAAAAUGGCCUAUGAGAAGACUAAAAAUAAGGAGGCAGAAAUCACUCUUCCAUUUAAACUUCCUCUGUCAGCACCACAGAGGACAGUUUCUAAUACACAGUUCCUCAAAAAAGGAGAAAAAAAUUCCAUUUGACAUAAUUAUGGCCAACAGUCCAUAAGGCAGAAUAGGGAAAAAAUGCCUACAUAUUUCAUGUUAAAAUUCAUCAAUAAUGGAAGACCAAGAUUAAAUUAUAUAACUGCCACCUUUAAGUUAAAUAACAUUUUCAGCAGAAGGAAGGGGAGAUGGGACAACUCCAUAGCCAACGCGUUUAUUUCAGCAUAUGAAUAAUUAAGGCAAAUAAUACAACAGCUUUUUAGAAGGGAGAAGAUUCAAUGAAGAGGUUAGGUUAGAAGGGACUUGCGCUGCAUUUGGAGAUUUGAAGGACUUGGAGAAUUAUUCAUACUCAAUCAUUUAUUUGAUUAAUUUCUCCUUUCUUUCAGGCCAUUAAUGCUCAGAUUGCUCUUUUUGCAAAUGCACUUACAGUCUGAAGUCACUGGAAUAAAUCUGGUCCAUGGCUCCCCUUCAGUGGCCACUUUCUUGCAAGUAGUCAUUGCACUAAAAGGAAACGGGUUUGGAUGGGGGUGUCAGCUCCCAGAGGGUUUCUGAUCUCAGAUCAGCUCCUCCAAUACCUUCUGCAAUGAAUCGAGCGUUUCCUCAUUCUCCUGCAAUAAUUGCUUAAAAUUUCUGCUUCCACAGGUAGACCUGCCAGCUCACCCGGCUCAUCCUACGUGGGCAGAAAGUAGGGGAGCGAAAAUAGAUGAAGCAGAGUCAUUAAAAAAUUUCAGAUCAUUAUUCAUGAAAAAUUAGUUAAUUGCACUAGCCUGUCCCCAGUGAAUCUGGCGCUGAUCCAGACCAACCUUCUGAUGAGUGGGAAGAAGAGCUACCUAAUUCAUUCAUAAUUCUGCGCUGAAACCUGACAGAUGAAGCUCUAUCCAGGGGCUGAUUAUUGUCAUGUGCAAAACAAAUAAUCCCCGUAGAUCCUACUAAGUGCCCAAACAUACGUGCUCUUCCCCACAGCCCCAGAGCUUCCCAGACACACUGACUCAUCGCAGAUGCUCAGAACUGGCACAGCCCAUCCCACAGGCUCCUAGAUUAAACAAGCUACAGAAGUAAACCAGAUUUCUCUGGUGAGAGGAGGGGGUGCUGAUCUUGGAAUGAGGAUGUCUGCAUAAGAGCACAGCUUGGAUGCCCAGAAGCCAUUCCUGCCACUGAUUGAGAAGGAAGCCUUGAUUGUCAUUGUUUUAUGGCUGUUAGAGGCCCGUGCCUAAUGACUUUUUUUUCUGGGGUGCCUGCCCAUUCCCAGGUAGGUGAAUGCCUAUGGAAUGAAAACAGAAGCUGUGCUUGGUGCUGGAGUGUCUGCCAAGCUGGGGAUCUGAGCAGGCAGCCUAAGGGCUCAGCUCAGCCUCCACGGCCAGCUUUAUGCUCCAUAUCUCGAGAAGGCUGUUGGGCAGCAGAAGGGACAAUCAGCAAAGACAACACAACUGCAAAGUACUUCUGCUCUGUCUGCAGCAGGAACAAGAGAAGAAUGCCUGGAGUGUAAUUAAUUCUGCACUAUUUUCUCCUCAUUCAAAGGAGGAGAAAUAUUUUUUAUUAAAAACAAUAAAAACUUCUGAAAAUAUUUA